UACAGAGGUCUCAAGCGUUGUUCGGAUUAAUUGGGCGUAAAGGGUGCGUAGGCGGAGCGCUAAGUCAGGUGUGAAAUCUCGGGGCUUAACUCCGAAACUGCAUUUGAUACUGGCGUGCUUGAGGACUGGAGAGGAGACUGGAAUUCAUGGUGUAGCAGUGAAAUGCGUAGAGAUCAUGAGGAAGACCAGUGGCGAAGGCGGGUCUCUGGACAGUUCCUGACACUGCGGCACGAAGGCCAGUGGAGCAAACGGG
rnacentral:rRNA from 1 species